AUGCGCUGCCAGGCGGUGUACGCGUCGGCCGCGCCGCCCAUGAUGAGCUCGAGGAGGGAAUCCACCAGCUUGCAUUUUUUGCUAGUUAUUUUGUUUCCAAAAAGGUCUUAUGGAUACUACAUGUCUAAUGCUGGCACCGAAGCAAUGGAUCUUAAUUUUGUCUCUUGUGAAAUCGAGGAAGGGGAUUCUUAUGUGUAUGACGAAGAUGAAGGCUGCUAUGUGAAUGGCGUUGAAGGGCCUGAUUAUGAAUUUGAUGAGAUUGACUUAUAUCAACAACUGGAUUAUAAAUUUGACGAUUUAUAUCUGCCUCCAGGUGUGGAGGCUAGUGUACCAUUGGUGCAGAAAGCUGUAACUGAUGACGGGCCUGACAAUUUUAAGUCAAUGUCAGAAAUAGAGGAUGAAAUUGGCAAGAAAUACAAGUUUUUUAAACAGUUUGACAUUAUUAAAGAUUUCUCUGAUCAUCAUUAUGCCAGUAAUCCUGUUGGAAAGACAGGGAAAGAGUGGACAAAAAGAAUUCAGCAUGAUUGGAAACUCCUGGAGAACAAUUUACCAGCGUCCAUAUAUGUUCGUGUUUCGGAAAAUCGAAUGGACCUUCUCAGGGCUGUGAUCAUUGGGCCUCAGGGAACACCCUACCACGAUGGCCUUUUCUUCUUUGAUGCUCAAUUCACUGUUAGUUAUCCAGCGACUCCUCCAGUGGUAUACUAUCAUUCUGGAGGACUUCGGCUUAAUCCAAAUCUGUAUGAUUGUGGAACAGUCUGCCUUAGCCUCCUGGGAACCUGGCAUGGUAAUGGCUGUGAGAACUGGAACUCAGCUCACUCAAGCAUGCUACAAGUGCUGAUAUCCAUUCAAGGUCUCAUAUUGAAUGAAAAGCCAUACUUCAAUGAGCCAGGAUACGAGACCGAAGUCAACGAUGCUAAUGGACAGAGUAGGUCCUUGGAGUAUAAUGAUACAGCAUUUCAGUACUCGUGCAGAACAAUGUUGUACUCACUUCGUAGGCCUCCACAGCACUUUGAAGAUCUUGUCGCCGGCCACUUUCGUGAACGUGGCCAUGCCAUUCUGGCUGCAUGCAAAUAUUACAUGGAGGGUAACGAAGUUGGGUCUGUUGUUCCUGAUGAGGACGAUGAGGGCAAGGAGCUGGAAAAUGCAAAUGCUGAAGGAUCCAGCAGCAGCAACGCAGUGAAGCCAAAGAAGCGUGCAGGUGCAGGUCGACGUACCCCAUCCUUCAAUGCCGACACGAAGGUUCUGUUUGAAGAGCUCCUGGUGGAAUUCAAUUUGAAGGGUGCUGACACCAAGAAGUUCUGUGUUGAGAAGUCAAAGAAAACGCGUCAAAAAAUGAAGAAGAGCCAGCCUGCUGCUGCUUGA
rnacentral:rRNA from 1 species